AAUAAAUUUAUUAGACACGGUGUUGAGUAUAAUAUCCACUGCAUCUAGUCAAAAAACAAUUGAAGCACUAAAAGGUCAAUAAACAAAUGUAUGCUAAUAUACUAGUAUAUAUCUGAUUAAGCAGAGCUCUACUUAUUAUGCAUUACAUUAAAUAAUUGUCACAAAUGAAGUUCAAAAUGAAUAAUGUAAAAUAUGAACUUUCACAUGUGAAUUCUCCAAAAGAUGCAAGAACUGGAUAAAGAGCACUUGAAUUUUGAAAGGGAUUUUAAAUCAUUUGGUAAGGGACGACAUCAAAUGUAAAAUGUAGGAUAAAACAAACUUAAUUCAUAUACACCCUCUUAACUUACUUUGGGAAAAAUUGAUUGACCAAUAAGCAUAUGUAUAAAAUCGAUGUCAAUUAAACAAAACUUAGAGGCACAUUUGACCCCCACCCUCAAACUAUUUGAAUUGAGAUUUUUAUCCUUCAUUGAUUUUUUUAUGUCCUCCAUUCAAUUCGUCAGUGGAUUGGAUUACCAUCCAUUUUCCUUUGGAUGGAUUUUCCUUCCAAACAGCAGUCUGUCAGAUUUUGAGUUCGGAUGGUUAUCCAUCUUGAAACUGACUGCUAAGGGUACUUAGAAAUUAAUUUAAAAAGAAGUUAGACAAAACUCUGUAAAGCCUUCAUUUAACACAUUCGUCUUUUUCCUAAGGCAACGAUGGAUCAUAAAAGGGCAAUCUUAACUCCGUGUUAUAUGUUCAUCACAAAACUGAAGUUCACGUAGUGCACGGCUGAUCUGAUAUGAAGGGUAUUAGGAAUGAAAUAUAUGUAAAUAUCUUUUCUUCUUGAUGUAGGUAAACAGAAAAGUACUUUUGUGUUGAUCUGAAAGUCUGUUCCAUUGUUUGUAUAUUUCAUUUUUUAAUAUAAAACCAGAGACAUAUAAUACAUAUGUAUUAUAUGUCUCUGAUAAAACUUAAUAUAAACUGCUAUUAUAAUUGUUUAAUAGAUUUGAUUUUUUAUUGAUUUACUGUAAUUUUAAUUCCUUGGUAGUAUUUUUGAUUGCUUCUGUGUUUAUUUUCUUGCUUUAUGUCUUCUGUAUACAUAUCGACUCUUAUUUAAAAUCGUAUAUGCAAACGUAACUGGUUACUCACACAAUUAAAGUAAAU
rnacentral:lncRNA from 1 species